rnacentral:misc_RNA from 1 species
UCUAUGGAGACUUGUUGAUAUAACUUGCUCUGCAAGUUAUAUCAACCAAGAAGCUACUUUUCUACUGUUCGAUUUUGAAGGACCAAGAGGCUUAACGCUGUUAAGCUUUUUGAAUCCUUAGUUCUUUGAAAACUGCACAACAACAAUAAGCAAAGGUAAAGAAAUGCAAUGCAAUGACAUAAUU